GAACCUGCGGAAGGAUCAUUACAGAGUUCAUGCCCGAAAGGGUAGACCUCCCACCCUUGUGUAUUAUUACUUUGUUGCUUUGGCGAGCUGCCUUCGGGCCUUGUAUGCUCGCCAGAGAAUACCAAAACUCUUUUUAUUAAUGUCGUCUGAGUACUAUAUAAUAGUUAAAACUUUCAACAACGGAUCUCUUGGUUCUGGCAUCGAUGAAGAACGCAGCGAAAUGCGAUAAGUAAUGUGAAUUGCAGAAUUCAGUGAAUCAUCGAAUCUUUGAACGCACAUUGCGCCCCUUGGUAUUCCGGGGGGCAUGCCUGUUCGAGCGUCAUUUCAACCCUCAAGCUUAGCUUGGUAUUGAGUCUAUGUCAGUAAUGGCAGGCUCUAAAAUCAGUGGCGGCGCCGCUGGGUCCUGAACGUAGUAAUAUCUCUCGUUACAGGUUCUCGGUGUGCUUCUGCCAAAACCCAAA
rnacentral:rRNA from 1 species